rnacentral:lncRNA from 1 species
AAAGCAUUUUUCAUCCCAGACUUGGCCCCAGGUGGACGCACCUUUUCCCUUAUAUUUCACCUCAUGGAACUCCUCUCCCUCUGGUCCAGGGCAGGACCUUCGCACAGUCCAUUCUGCCACACAAGCACCUUUAUGAAGCCAGAAGGAAAAGCCAGGAUGCGCGUGAUGAGUAGGUGAUUUGUGUGGGUCAGAUUUUCUGCACUGUGGCUGCUGACAAACAUGAUCAUGCCAAGCAGGCCACAAAAGUGGUGAAGAUUGUGUACCAAGACGUGGAGCCUAUAAUUGUGAACAUUCAGAUCUGGCUGCCCAAUCCAUUUUAUUCUAGAACAUGGGGACAACAUGUUGAUAACUGGAGGAUGGCACCCACUACCUGGGACAUAUAAGAAUACCUGCCGGACCCUCGUGGAAUGCCUUGAACCUAUUAUCAGAUGGAGUACUAGUGGCACCUGGGAGAAGUGGGUGAGUAUCAGGUGUGGCUGAAGCCUGCAGAGCUCCUGUGGGGCCACUGAGUGGAAGCACCUGUUCCCAGGUAGGCUGCAUCCCUGCCACUUCCUCCUCCUGUCCUGUACAACCUAGGGCAUCCCCUCCCCAGUCAUCAGUGAGCAGGCAGAUCACCUGGGCAUCAGUUAAAAUGCAGAUUCUUAUUCUGUAGGUCUGAGUGGGGCCUCA